AAAAAUUGUUCAUUGGUUAGUGACGUAUUUGCGCAUGCGCGGCGCGUCUGCGCAAUCGUCUUGUCGGUGGAUAUAACGCCAUUUUGUGGUCGGUGAUUGACAGCUACACACGGAAGCCGUAUCGUCCUCAUUAAUUUCAGGUUUUCAAGAAUUCUACCUACCGACAGAUAAAAUAUCCCGGCUUUCUUUUUCUACAUAUGCUUUGUCCUUCGUCCUGUGUACAAGCUCAAAUAAAAGAAGAAUCAUCAUUACACGCAGGAUGCUCAUCGUGCAAAGAACCAGCAAACAUUCUGUUCAAAUAAAAAAAAAGAAUCAUCCUUUUCAUCAUCCUGAGGCAGGAUGCCCAUGCUUCAUGCAUCGACAAAGAUUUUAAGUAAAGUUUUUUAUUAAACAUUUUUUUCAUUUUUAUUUACGCAUUUUACGUUAAAUAUUAUAUUUUUUAUUUUACUUAUGUUCACUUGAAAAUUAAAAAUCUGUUUUUAAAUACAUA